AACGCAUCUUGCACUUUCUGGGGUUUACUCUGGAAAGUAUGUCUGUUUGAGUAUCAUUUUACUCUCUCUCAAGCCAUUGAGGGGACUUGAAAGAUCACUUUACGAAGCGACUUUUUGAAUUCAGUGGGGCGAGCACUUUGUGUCGAGCAACCGGAUGCGUACCAGUCGCAAAAGGUGUACCAUGCCAGACGGAGUGGUACAUUUGAUGGUACAGUCAAAGGGAGCUUGAGUGCUUAUGGAUGGACACACUUGAACGUGAUCUCAAAUCAGACAAGACUACCCGCUGAACUUAA
rnacentral:misc_RNA from 1 species